rnacentral:rRNA from 1 species
AGUGAACGCUGGCGGUAGGCCUAACACAUGCAAGUCGAACGGCAGCACAGUAAGAGCUUGCUCUUACGGGUGGCGAGUGGCGGACGGGUGAGGAAUACAUCGGAAUCUACUUUUUCGUGGGGGAUAACGUAGGGAAACUUACGCUAAUACCGCAUACGACCUACGGGUGAAAGCAGGGGAUCUUCGGACCUUGCGCGACUGAAUGAGCCGAUGUCGGAUUAGCUAGUUGGCGAGGUAAAGGCCCACCAAGGCGACGAUGCGUAGCUGGUCUGAGAGGAUGAUCAGCCACACUGGAACUGAGACACGGUCCAGACUCCUACGGGAGGCAGCAGUGGGGAAUAUUGGACAAUGGGCGCAAGCCUGAUCCAGCCAUACCGCGUGGGUGAAGAAGGCCUUCGGGUUGUAAAGCCCUUUUGUUGGGAAAGAAAAGCAGCAGGUUAAUACCCCGAUGUUCUGACGGUACCCAAAGAAUAAGCACCGGCUAACUUCGUG